rnacentral:lncRNA from 1 species
GUGAGAGCUUUUGGCUUCUCCUUUCUUCUCCUUAGUCGUGGCACUGGUCGAGGUUCCAUGCAUCUCGAAGAAUUCCUCGGCUCGGGCAUAUUUUUUUACUUGAGCCAGCAUUUUCAUGAAGUCCUUUUGAUAUCUCUUCUCUGAUGAGAAUUGGAGAGAGUUAUUCUGAAGUCCCCCUUUAGAGCAGUCAUUGCGAUGACUGAUUUAGGUCAUGCACUUUUAGGAUGGCUGCAUUGAAGUGGGUCACAUAAGCUUGGAGGGACUCUCCUUUGCUCUGCUUCAUAUUAACUAGGGAUCGGAUCCCUAGUGCUGUCUCUUGCUGCUAACAAAAUGGGCCACA